UACGUAGGGGGCUAGCGUUGUCCGGAAUCAUUGGGCGUAAAGAGCGCGUAGGCGGCCCGGUAAGUCCGCUGUGAAAGUCCAGGGCUCAACCCUGGAAUGCCAGUGGAAACUGUCGGGCUAGAGUACGGAAGAGGCGAGUGGAAUUCCUGGUGUAGCGGUGGAAUGCGCAGAUAUCAGGAGGAACACCAAUAGCGAAGGCAGCUCGCUGGGACGUUACUGACGCUGAGGCGCGAAAGCCAGGGGAGCAAACGGG
rnacentral:rRNA from 1 species